CCCUCUAUCUGCUUACAUUGGAUUUCAGCUGCAUGGUACAUUGAAUUUUCCCUCUCAUUUCCCAAACUGCUUAACAACACUAAAACAUUUGCAUGACAUGCUGAAACACAAAGGAAGUUGACGCCAUUUUAUCAUCAGACAGCCACUGUAGAUUCUCCAUUAUGAUUGGGGACAGGAGUGCAGUUGGCUCCAAUUAGCUUUCUCACCACUAGAUGCCACUGCAUCCUACACAGUGCUCCUUUGGGUGACAUCAGAAAAUUUUUGAUAUCCAUGGGGGCUUAUUUAAGGCAUGUCUAAUGUUAUUGUCUGGACAAAUAAGUUUAAGUUUCAUCAAGAGAUGAUCUGCUUUAACAGUUUGAUGAGGAAAAUUUCCCAAUGCUUUAUUGUGGUAAUGAUGGUUUUGAAAGAAUCAUUUCGCUGGGCUCUUUUAGACAACAUACAACACUCUGUAGAGAGGAAUCAGGCAUUGCUCUCCAUACAGCAGUGGCCAGUUGCUCCUUGUUUCUAUGCAAAGGCAUUAUUCCCUGUUGGACAAUGGAGAUAUGUGUGGAGUGUCACAGGCAAGUCAUCACGUAACCAGCUCAGAGGCCUGUUUCAUGUGAUCUCCUGAAACACCAGCAGAGAGGUGGGCUGGUCUAUCGCAAAUCCCAGGGGACUCAAUUCAUAGUGCUUUAUCGGUAGGGUAGAGUGUUUUACAGCCUGUAUUGUCAGUUGGUGUGGGACCACCUUUUUUUGGUGGUGACCACCAAUGUGGUUGAAAGAUGGUACGGGUCAGUCCAUGACUCAUGGGUCUGUGAGGAGUCUGAACUGUUUGCGAAAUUUCGGAGUGGAGAGCACCAGGACAUAUAGCUCAAAGAUCUGGCCUAUAUGAGCCGCACAUUCAUGCUUACCUCAGCGCGAAAUCUGAGGACUGCUGCGGAGAGUGCUAUAACAGCACAAAGAACCACGAGCGCUGUUAUUGAAAGGGCAUUGGGAGUGUGGAAAGAAGAUUCCCAUGUGUUGCAAAAGGAGCCCAUCACAGCUGCUAGUUGGAAAACAUAACAUAAAAAUCAUUGUUGCUACAGCCUGUUUACAUUUACAUAAUUUGACAAGACAAUGGAAUGAACAACUCCCUGAAAAAUGAAGGAAAUGCUCCGGCUGAAGACACAGAGAGGAAUCAUUUUAUCCAGAAGACAAAGCAAGACUCAAUGCAGAUAUCACUGAACAAGUCAUUCAACAAAGCUUCAUCAUACACCUCUUUAAUCACUAGCUCAAGACCUCAUCUGUGUUUUGGAGACAUCAGAUGUCCUUCACUGUUUAAACAUUUCUUGCCUUGACUGCAAUCAAAGAAAUGUAAACUGAAAAGUACAAUGAUAAGUUCUCUAAAAAUGGGCCAGUGUAUGAAAUAAGUGUGACACACUGGACAGUAAAGUUGAAUAGCUUACCUUUUCCAUGCUAUUCUGUAAUAUGCAGCCAGACCCUGACACACUUUUUAAUAUACAUGUAUCAUCAUUGGAAAUUAUUAUAGCAUCUGUUGAUUUGUGUUUUCAGGUGAGAUGGGCUUGUGAAACCAUUUCUCCCAGUUUUCUUUAUUUCAUGCACUCAUUUUUGCUCUCAUUGCAAAUAAACAAAGUGCAAAUGAAGGAGGGCUUAAUAUGAAAUAUAUUUCAUCUGGUGCUUAUCAGCAAUAAUGACAUAUAACUAACGAUCUAACAUGUGUCAGUUGAUGUGUUCAAUAGUCAAAAUAAAUAAAGGAGCUCACAAAUAUU